rnacentral:rRNA from 1 species
CGACCUGCACGAAUGGCGUAACGAUGGCGGCGCUGUCUCCACCCAAGACUCAGUGAAAUUGAAAUCGCUGUUAAGAUGCAGUGUAUCCGCGGCUAGACGGAAAGACCCCGUGAACCUUUACUAUAGCUUCACACUGGACUUUGACCUUACUUGUGUAGGAUAGGUGGGAGACUUUGAAGCGUGAUCGCCAGAUUGCGUGGAGUCACCCUUGAAAUACCACCCUGGUAAUGUUGAGGUUCUAACUUGGCUCCUGAAACGGGAGUGAGGACAGUGUGUGGUGGGUAGUUUGACUGGGGCGG